rnacentral:lncRNA from 1 species
CCCAGGCCUCCUAAAGUGUUGGGAUUACAGGCGUGAGCCAUUGUGCCCGGCAAGAGAGGCUUUCUUAAUUUCCCUUCUCAACGACCUGUUAAUUAAUCUUCCUCUUCAAACCCUGCUAUUGGUGAAGCCAGUCGGGUUUCUUACUUUGCUCUUUUGCCGAGUCAGGAGCCAGCUGGAAUGGGUCACUGACACUGUCAAGUUCAGAGGUGGUGAGAGACACAGAUUGCAGGUAUCUUUGUAAGUUCCAAUUCGUCCCCCACACCAGGUUCAGCUUGUCUUUACUCUCCCCUGAGUCACUUCGAGUUUGGUUCUACUGAUCUACAGGAAGCUUCUUCCCACCACUGAAUUCAAGGGACAGUCUUCCCAUAUGUCUUUACCAGCUCUCGCAAAUGAAGACAGAGCCUGUCUAUGUCAUUCAGACUGGCCUCAAA